GUCAAGUGAUCCAUCCUCCUCGGCCUCCCAAAGUGCUGGGAUUACAGGCAUGAAGCACUGCGCCCAGCCAUCCCUUGACUUCUUACAAUAACCUUAGGAAGCAGGAACUAUGAUUGGCUCCAUUUUACAGGUUGAAUGAACAGGACUUGCUGACUGGUCAGAGUGUGGGGGCUUCGGGAAGGAGAUGGAAGCAUUCAUGUAUCUUUCUUUGAUUCAUCUCAGUGUCAGUGUCUUGGGAGCUGGUAGAGGAAAGUAAGGGAAGAAAAAGGCCGCACCUCUACCCUCCCAGAAAGAACUUCAGAUGAGGAUGCUAAAGCCUAGAGGAGAGAAGUGAUUUGCCCAAGAUCACACAGAGAGUUCCUAUCAGAGCUGGGGCUGGAAACCAAGUAUUCGGAUUCCUCAAAUUCCAUGCCUGUCCUUCACACUCUUUGUAGCCCCAGCUACACAGAUAUUCUCAAGUAGAAAAGUUAACUAUUGGGUACUGAGCUUAAUACCUGGGUGACGAAAUAAUCUCUAC
rnacentral:lncRNA from 1 species